rnacentral:lncRNA from 1 species
AACUGGAAGAGCGGCGGUCUGCAGCCCUCCCCUCAUACCCUUGCCCCCGCGACCCGGCCCCUUCUCAAGCCCUCUGCACGCUUAGGCCAAAGUGCCAUAAUACUGUCACAAUUUGCUGAGGGAUCUGCACAGCGCGAUCCGAAGACUUGUCCAUUCUACGACGGUUCUUGUUGAGUGUCAGCGGUAGAUUAUUUUUUUGUCUUUAAGAAGAAGAAAAAACCCCCAAAAAACUCCAUUGGAAUAAAGACAGUUGUUAAUCCACAAAAGCAUUUUGUUUCUCAUGAGUUACCAUGAAGUCUCUGCAGCCGACUUCCUUGGAGAUUUUUUAAAGGAACACAAGGUCAGCUUUCAGUUUUCCAUGUUAAGCGUGGGCAGCAUAGAUAAGUAAAAGCUGCCUGCAAUCUCCAACCCUCCUUUGUAAAGGGCUUGUGCUCUGGAGGCUGUUAGCCAUGGUUUUCCUUAUAAACCGAGAGACUGGUCAGUAUCUCUGAACCUCAGCCUCCACAUCUGUAAAACGGGCAUUUUACUCACUUUUCUGGGUAAUUGUAAACCAUAAAAGGAUAAAACAGUGUACACUGCACAGUUCAGAUUCUCUCAUGUAACAGGUACAGAGCAAAUUAUAGUUCCCUUUCUUCCCCAGAUAGAUUCCUACAGCGAAUUUUACUUCUUUACAAAAUCUUCCAGAGACAGGUCAAAUACUGUUGCAAUAACUGUUAACAACCAAAAUAUCAAUUUCAAGAUGUCCAAGCUUUAAUUGACAGAGUUAUUUAAUCAGUUGGAUGGAAAAAAAUCUUAAAUGAUAUAAAAUAAUUUGGACGGGUCUUUCAAGUUUAUUGUAUAGAAAUUGAACUAUUGGCCUGAUACAGUUGCUCACAUCUAUAAUCCCAGCAGUUUGGGAGGCCAAGGCAGGUGGAUAGCUUGAGCCCGGGAGUUGGAGACUAGCCUGGGCAACAUAGCAAGACCCUGUCUCAAAAAUAAAUUAAUUAAUUAAAAUUUAGAAAAAACGAAAUUGAACUGUUCUG